GCAUAUCAAUAAGCGGAGGAAAAGAAACCAACAGGGAUUGCCCUUAGUAACGGCGAAGUGAAGCGGCAACAGCUCAAAUUUGAAAUCUGGCUCUUUCAGAGUCCGAGUUGUAAUUUGCAGAGGGCGCUUUGGCUUUGGCAGCGGUCCAAGUUCCUUGGAACAGGACGUCACAGAGGGUGAGAAUCCCGUACGUGGUCGCUAGCUAUUGCCGUGUAAAGCCCCUUCGACGAGUCGAGUUGUUUGGGAAUGCAGCUCUAAAUGGGAGGUAAAUUUCUUCUAAAGCUAAAUAUUGGCCAGAGACCGAUAGCGCACAAGUAGAGUGAUCGAAAGAUGAAAAGCACUUUGGAAAGAGAGUCAAACAGCACGUGAAAUUGUUGAAAGGGAAGCGCUUGCAGCCAGACUUGCUUGCAGUUGCUCAUCCGGGCUUUUGCCCGGUGCACUCUUCUGCAGGCAGGCCAGCAUCAGUUUGGGCGGUGGGAUAAAGGUCUCUGUCAUGUACCUCUCUUCGGGGAGGCCUUAUAGGGGAGGCGACAUACCACCAGCCUAGACUGAGGUCCGCGCAUCUGCUAGGAUGCUGGCGUAAUGGCUGUAAGCGGCCCGUCUUGAAACACGGACCAAGGAGUCUAACAUCUAUGCGAGUGUUUGGGUGUCAAGCCCGAGCGCGUAAUGAAAGUGAACGGAGGUGGGAACCCGCAAGGGUGCACCAUCGACCGAUCCUGAAGUUUACGGAAGGAUUUGAGUAAGAGCAUGGCUGUUGGGACCCGAAAGAUGGUGAACUAUGCUUGAAUAGGGUGAAGCCAGAGGAAACUCUGGUGGAGGCUCGCAGCGGUUCUGACGUGCAAAUCGAUCGUCAAAUUUGGGCAUAGGGGGCGAAAGACUAAUCGAACUAUCUAGUAGCUGGUUCCUGCCGAAG
rnacentral:rRNA from 1 species